GAAAGAGGCCACGGGUGAAGACAUUUAGCCACCCCCUGAAGUACAUGGCAGCAUCCAACCCUCUUGGUGAGCUGCAGGAAUGUGUUCCCCAUUGCAGUGCACCAGCUCCAUGUACUGAUUUUGGGUGUGAACUUGAUGGGGUUGUAGGAAACUCGACUCGGCCAUCAAGCUCACCACAAUAUAACAUAAAAAGUGAAAAUUGCUGCACACAACAGUCUGUCGUCUGCACCGGGAGGCAAGGCAGCUCAAAGCCCAGGCUGUUACAACUCCUGGGCAGUUUUUGCCCAGAGCCAGCAGUUUUUUACAUCCAGUAGGGAUGGAUUUUUUCUGAGGUCAGGUUCAACAUGCUGCAAGAUGCCAAGAUCUAAGCCUAGUAGGAGAUAUGGGUUACAAGAGAGGAGGUUUGCUCUGGCCUUAUACUAUCAAAGUCCAAAUGCUAAUAGAUUUAUAAGCACAGUAUUUCACUUGCCUUCAGUUUCAACACUUCACUCAUGACUCAGGGGUAUUUCAGUACAUGUUGGCUGGAGCAAACAGACUCUGACAGCCCUGCAGCAAAGAGCACAGGCUUUGUCAAAAAAAGAGAAACUUCGUGGGAUUUGCCAUUAUUUAGUAUUUCUCUUGUUACGCUAAUAAUUUUUUUCCAUAUACUUUGCCAAAUAUUGCAAGUAAUGCACCAUUGUUGGUCUUGCCUGUUAUAAAUCAGAUCUUGUUCAAUUAAGAAGCUUUGGGUGUCUGCCACUUUCCAGUUGUAAUGCAAGGAUUCAUUUAUCUUCCCUGCCAGAUAUCACAUGUAAUGCACCAUUGUUGGUUUUGCCUGUUAUAAAUCAGAUCUUGUUCAGUUAACAAGCUUUAGGUGUCUGCCACUUUCCAAUUGUAAUGCAAGGAAUCCCCUGCCAGAUAUCGCAUGUAAUGCACCAUUGUUGGUCUUGCCUGUUAUAAAUCAGAUAUUGUUCAGCUCACAAGCUUUGAAUAUCUGCCAUUGUUUAUUUCAGGUGUAAUGCUUGGAAGCAUUUGUUCUCUUCCCUACCCAACAGUAUGCAAUGCUUUAUUGUGGAUUUUGCCUGUUAUAUUUAAUCUUGUUCAGGUAACAAGCUUUCGGUGUCUGCCUUACCUAAUAAUGUGCUGCAGUGACACUUGGCUUGGUUUCAUAAUGUGAAAUACAGCAUGUAAUUUCAUCACACUAAGUGUCUAUCAUCACGUGUCUGGCAUCAUUAAUGUGGCUUCCAGGAGUAAUCUUGUUUGUAU